AUUGAACGCUGGCGGCAGGCCUAACACAUGCCAGUCGAGCGGAUGAAGGGAGCUUGCUCCUGGAUUCAGCGGCGGACGGGUGAGUAAUGCCUAGGAAUCUGCCUGGUAGUGGGGGAUAACGUCCGGAAACGGGCGCUAAUACCGCAUACGUCCUGAGGGAGAAAGUGGGGGAUCUUCGGACCUCACGCUAUCAGAUGAGCCUAGGUCGGAUUAGCUAGUUGGUGGGGUAAAGGCCUACCAAGGCGACGAUCCGUAACUGGUCUGAGAGGAUGAUCAGUCACACUGGAACUGAGACACGGUCCAGACUCCUACGGCAGGCAGCAGUGGGGAAUAUUGGACAAUGGGCGAAAGCCUGAUCCAGCCAUGCCGCGUGUGUGAAGAAGGUCUUCGGAUUGUAAAGCACUUUAAGUUGGGAGGAAGGGCAGUAAGUUAAUACCUUGCUGUUUUGACGUUACCAACAGAAUAAGCACCGGCUAACUUCGUG
rnacentral:rRNA from 1 species